CGUUUUGCCAAGAAAAAAAAAGCUCCAACGACGAGAAUGAGACCUCAUCCGAGAGACAGAGAGAGAAUGCCACCGCAUUACUGUAACCCAGAUCUCGUUCUACUUCAUCUCUCUCUACCCGCAUCGGCCUUGGUGAUCUUGUCAUCGUCGACCAUGAUCGCCUCAUCUUGAUCGAUCCUCUCUCUCUCUUUUUCCCUCUCAAUCCCCAGAUUUGAGCCCUUCUUCCUCAAUCCCCUCGCGAUUUCUCCCUCCUAGCACCAGACCGCCCUGGGUUUUUUAGAGAGAUUUGUCGGAGGAAAAUGUACGAGAGAUGCUGACCAAGUUCGAGACCAAGAGCAAUCGGGUGAGGGGGCUGAGCUUCCAUAGCAAGCGGCCAUGGAUCCUCGCCAGCCUCCACAGCGGCGUGAUCCAGCUAUGGGACUACCGGAUGGGCACCCUUCUCGACCGCUUCGAGGAGCACGACGGCCCCGUCCGCAGCGUCCAUUUCCAUAAUUCCCAACCCCUCUUCGUCUCCGGAGGAGAUGAUUCCAAGAUUAAGGUCUGGAAUUACAAGACAGACCGGUGCCUGUUUACUCUUCUUGGACACCUUGAUUACAUCCGUACUGUGGAAUUCCACAAUGAGUGCCCUUGGAUUGUCACUGCCAGUGAUGAUCGGACCAUCAGGAUUUGGAACUGGCUGUCAAGGACUUGCAUUUCAGUUCUGACCGGGCAUGGCCACUAUGUCAUGUGUGCCUCAUUCCAUCCAAAGGAGUACUUGGUUGUAUCAGCUUCCUUGGAUCAAACAAUCCGAGUUUGGGAUAUUGGUGCAUUGAGGAAGAAGACAGUGGCCCUAGCCGAUGACACCUCGCGUCUGAACCGGAUGAACACAUAUUUGUUGGGGGAAGUUGAUGUUAUAGUCAAGUAUGUGUUAGAAGGUCAUGAUCGUGGAGUCAAUUGGGCGUCAUUCCAUCCAAAGCUUCCUCUUAUUGUUUCUGGGGCUGAUGAUAGGCAAGUAAAGCUGUGGCGAAUGAAUGAUACGGAGGCUUGGGAAAUGGACACGUUGAGAGGGCACACGAGCAAUGUAUCCUGUGUUAUAUUCCAUACGAGGCAAGGCAUCAUUGUGUCCAACUCCGAGGAUAGAAGCAUUUGCAUUUGGGAUGCUACAAAGCGUACCGCUCUUCAGACAUUUCGGCGUGAACACGACCGUUUCUGGAUUCUCGCUGCACAUCCGGAGAUGAACCUUCUUGCCGCAGGUCAUGACAGUGGUAUGAUUGUUUUCAAAUUGGAGAGAGAACGCCCUGCCUUCUCUGUGAGUGAAGAUACUCUUUACUACUUCAGAGACCAGUUUUUGCGAUCCUAUGAGUUUUCAUCACAGAAGGAAAAGCAAGUGUGUAUUAUAAGAAGACCUGGUUCCAUUUUUUUGAAUCAGGGACCUAGAACACUAUCCUUUAUCCCCACGGAAAAUGCUGUAUUAAUCUGUUCUGAUGUUGAUGGCGGGUCGUACGAACUCUAUAUUGUUCCCAAUUAUGGUGCUAGAAAAGAUGAUGUUAUCAAGGUAAAGAAGGGAAGUGGGGGAUCAGCAGUAGUUGUUGCUCGCAAUAGGUUUGCAGUCCUUGACAGGAGUAGCAAUCAAGUAUUGGUCAAAAAUCUUAAGAAUGAAACUGUGAAGAAGUCUUUUCUUCCUAUUGUCACUGAUGCUAUCUAUUAUGCUGGGACAGGCAAUAUAUUGUGCAGGGCUGGGGAUAGGGUGGUCAUAUUCGAUCUCCAACAGAGGAUCACUCUCGGGGAACUUCAGACUCCUUCUGUUAAGUAUGUUGUUUGGUCGGGUGACAUGGAGACUGUUGCGUUGCUUAGCAAGCAUACGAUUGUUAUUGCUGGUAAGAAACUUGUGCACCUGUGCACGCUGCAUGAAACUAUCCGUGUAAAAAGUGGUGCUUGGGAUGAGAAUGGUGUAUUCAUAUAUACAACCCUGAACCACAUCAAGUAUUACCUACCAAAUGGGGACAGUGGGAUUAUCAGGACACUCGAUGUUCCUAUAUACUUAACCAAGGUUUCUGGAAACAAUAUUUAUUGCUUGGAUCGUGAUGGGAAGAACAAGGUCAUACCAAUUGAUUCAACAGAGUAUAUGUUUAAGCUUGCCCUUCUAAGGAAAAGAUACGACCAUGUCAUGAGUAUGAUCAAGAGCUCAAAGCUGCGUGGACAAGCUGUGGUUGCUUAUUUGCAGCAGAAAGGGUUUGCAGAAGUUGCUCUUCAUUUUGCCAAAGACCAGAAGACAAGGUUUUAUCUGGCUCUCAAGAGUGGAAACAUCCAGGUAGCUGUUGCUUCUGCAAAAGAGAUAGAUGAGAAAGACUGCUGGUACAGGUUAGGCAUCGAGGCCCUUCGUCAGGGAAAUACCAGUAUUGUGGAAUAUGCAUACCAGAGGACGAAGAAUUUUGAAAGGCUCUCUUUCCUGUAUCUUGUAGCGGGAAACAUAGAAAAGCUUUGCAAAAUGCUGAGGACCGCUGAGAUUAAAAAUGAUGUGAUGGGUCAGUUCCACAAUGCAUUGUAUCUAGGUGAUAUACAGGAAUGUGCCAAGAUCUUGGAGAAUGCAGGUCAUUUGCCCCUAGCAUAUAUUACAGCUUCUAUUCAUGGUCUUACGGAGAUUGCGGAUCGGCUUGCAGCUGAGUUGGGCGAUAAUGUUCCCUCUCUACCUGAAGGCAAAGGCUGUUCUCUUCUGAUGCCACCUCGUCCCCUUGUGUGCAGUGGUGAUUGGCCCAUGUUGAGGGUCAUGAGAGGAGUUUCUGAAGGUGGCUUGGACUAUGGAGGAAGGACAGGACAUGAGGAGGAAGAAGAAGCCACUGGGGCAGAUUGGGGUGAUGAUGGCUUGGAACUUGUUGAUGCGGAGGGUGCGAUGCAGAAUGGAGUUUUGGAAGUCGAGGAUGCUGAGGCAGAUGAAGAGAAUGAUGUGGAAGGAGGAUGGGACCUUGAAGAUUUGGAGUUACCACCUGAUAUCGAUGCUCCAAAAGCUACAGGUAAUGCUGCCACCUUAUUUGUCGCCCCUACUCCAGGCAUGCCGGUGAGCCGUAUCUGGAUUCAGAAAUCAUCACUUGCUGGGGAGCAUGCAGCAGCUGGGAAUUUUGAUACCGCCAUGCGCUUGCUUAACCGACAAUUAGGCAUCAGAAACUUCGCUCCCUUGAAGCCAUUGUUCAUGGAUCUACAUAUGGGCAGUCACACAUACUUGAAUGCUUUUGCUUCAGCUCCUGUAAUAUCUAUUGCUGUUGAGAAGGGUUGGAGUGAGUCUGCUAGCGCUAAUGUGAGAGGUCCUCCGGCACUUGUGUAUAUAUUAUCUCAGCUGGACGAGAAACUUAAAAUAGCAUAUAGGGCCACAACAGAGGGGAAGUUCUCAGAAGCUCUACGGGUCUUUCUCAAUAUCUUGCACACUAUCCCUCUUAUUGUUGUGGGCUCUAGGAGAGAGGUUGAUGAAGUCAAAGAGCUGAUUGAAAUAGCGAAAGAGUAUGUGGUGGGCUUGAAGAUGGAGGUCAAAAGAAAGGAAAUCAAGGACAAUUCGCUCUGGCAGCAGGAGUUGGCAGCCUACUUUGCCAACUGCAAACUCCAUAGAAUUCAUAUGAAGCUAGUGCUAGCCAGUGCCAUGACCACCUGCUUCAAGGGAGGCAACUACAGUACAGCAGCCUACUUCGCAAGGAUGCUUGUGGAGAGCAGCCCAAGUGAGGCUCAAGCAAAGAAGGCUAGGCAAGUGCUGCAGGCAUGUGGCGAUAGGAAAGAUGCAAGCCAGUUGAAUUAUGAUUCUAGGAAUCCAUUUGUUGUUUGUGGGGCAACUUUUGUUCCACUUUACCAAGGGCAGAAGGAUAUAUCCUGCCCUUACUGUCGGGCACGAUUUGUUCCGGCCAUUGAAGGCCAAAUUUGUGCGGUCUGUGAAAUAGCAGUGGUGGGGGCUGAUGCAUCAGGUCUGUUAUGUUCUCCAACCCAGACAAGAUGAUGAAAGUCUAUCAUAGCAACUUGGGUGGGCACAGGCGGAUCUCCCCAACCCCAUGGAACUGCUUUGCAAUUCCACUUACUAGUCUGGCACAAAAGCUUCUGUAGACCCGGGGCAAAGUUUAUAUGAACAUGCCCUUCUUCGAUGAUAGAAACCUCUUGGCAGAUGAUCUGCUUUGUGCUUGUUGCCGCCAUUCUAACAUUUUCUAUCGGUAAAUGAUACAGUGCUUUUCAUUGGUAAGCUUUGAAGAGUAACCUUUAUCAGAUUGAGACAUAUGAUACACAGCUCGUAGUGUGAAUAAGGGAGAAAAUUCUCAAGAUCUCGAUUCAAGGAAUACUAAUUAUCUGAUGGAUUUUGCCUUGCGUUGGUUUCAUGGCACUAAUACCCAUCUCAUCAAUCCUCUGCAACUGGCUCACAAGGGUUUAAAAUGGAUCAUAGUUGGGGAACCAUGCACUUUUGCCUUGU